GGGGAUGUAGCUCAAAUGGUAGAGCGCUUGCUUCGCAUGUGAGAGGCACGGGGUUCGAUCCCCCGCAUCUCUA
rnacentral:tRNA from 1 species